GUCUGUGGUAUCUGGCUCUCGAGAUUCGGAGAACGAUGCCUCUUCGAUUUUUGAGAAAAGCAAUCAUGCUGGGGGUCUGGCUCUCGAGAUUCGGAGAGUAGUGUCUCUUCGAUUUUUGAGGAAGUAAUCAUGUUGGGAGUCUGGCUCUCGAGAUUCGGAGGGCGGUGCCUCUUCGAUUUUGGAGCAAGCAAUCCUGUUGGGAGUGUUGUCUCGAAUGUGAGUAAAGGUUGGGCAUGUUUGCUAGUCUACCUUGCCCCGAAGCACAAAGGUUGACACACAGGGACUUUCCAAUUAUCUAGCAAUGGUACUGUUCCUUUACCCUAUCUUCGCUUUUGAGAAAGUAGUCAUGUUGGGAGUCUGGCUCUCGAGAUUCGGAGGACGGUGCCUCUUCGAUUUUGGAGCAAGUAAUCUUGUUGGGAGUUUUCUCGAAUGUGAGUAAAGGUUGGGCAUGUUUGCUAGUCUACCUUGCCACGAAGCACAGAGGUUGACACACACAGAACUUUCCAAUUAUCCAGCAAUGGUACUGUUCCGUUUACCCUUGUGGGUAAUAAUAUGGUAGCUAGACCUUCAAAAUUUAUGUGUCUAAACUUUGUUAGUGCUGUUUCUUUGCUAUUCUUUUACCUUUCUUGGUCAGAGCGAUGUAGUGGGAGCUGCAAGCUUCACGUGCUCAACUUUGGCAGAGAAACUUUGGCAAAGUUAUCUGUGGUACCCAUGAGCUAUUGUUGCGUGUGGGAAGUGGGUGAUUGAACAGUAAGAUUCAUGUGCUUUCUACUUCACCAGAAGUAUUCGACAGAAUGCCCAUAAUUUCUGCAAAGCUGAGUGUGCGUGUGACAGGUGCUGACAACUAGAAUAGUAGGUGCCUCUUCGAUUUCUGAGAUCGGCCCUCGUGGUCUCUGAGCAGCCCAGCUUUUGAGAAAGCGAGCGCCUCUUCGAUUGAUUCGGAGAACGAUGCCUCAUCGAUUUUUGAGAAAGCAAUCAUGCUGGGGGUCUGGCUCUCGAAGAUUCGGGGAGCAGUGUCUCUUCGAUUUUUGAGAAAGUAAUCAUGUUGGGAGUCUGGCUCUCGAGAUUCGGAGGGCGGUGCCUCUUUCAAUUUUGGAGCAAGCAAUCUUGUUGGGAGUGUUUUCUCGAAUGUGAGUAAAGGUUGGGCAUGUUUGCUAGUCUACCUUGCCACGAAGCACAGAGGUUGACACACAGGGACUUUCCAAUUAUCCAGCAAUGGUACUGUUCCUUUACCCUCUCUUCGAUUUUUAAGAAAGUAGUCAUGUUAGGAGUCUGGCUCUCGAGAUUCGGAGGACGGUGCCUCUUCGAUUUUGGAGCAAGCAAUCUUAUUGUGAGUGUUUUCUCGAAUGUGAGUAAAGGUUGGACAUGUUUGCUAGUCUACCUUGCCACGAAGCACAGAGGUUGACACACAGGGACUUUCCAAUUAUCCAGCAGUGGUACUGUUCCUUUACCCUUGUGGGUAAUAAUAUGGUAGCUAGACCUUCAAAAUUUAUGGGUCUAAACUUUGUUAGUGCUGUUUCUUUGCUAUUCUUUUACCCUUCUUGGUCAGAGCGAUGUAGUGGGAGCUUCAAGCUUCACGUGCUCAACUUUGGCAGAGAACUUUGGCAAAGUUAUCUGUGGUACCCAUGAGCUAUUGUUGCGUGUGGGAAGUGGGUGAUUGAAAAGUAAGAUUCAUGUGUUUUCUACUUCCCCAGAAGUCUUCGACAGAAUGCCCAUAAUUUCCGCAAAGCUGAGUGUGCGUGUGACAGGUGCUGACAAGGCUGGAAAAGUAGGUGCCUCUUCGAUUUCUGAGAUCGGCCCUCGUGGUCUCU
rnacentral:lncRNA from 1 species